rnacentral:rRNA from 1 species
CCUACGGGAGGCAGCAGUGAGGAAUAUUGGUCAAUGGGCGCGAGCCUGAACCAGCCAAGUAGCGUGAAGGAUGACGGCCCUACGGGAUGUAAACUUCUGUUAUAAAGGAAUAAAGUGAGGCACGUGUGCCUUUUUGUAUGUACUUUAUGAAUAAGGAUCGGCUAACUCCGUGCCAGCAGCCGCGGUAAUACGGAGGAUCCGAGCGUUAUCCGGAUUUAUUGGGGUUAAAGGGAGCGUAGAUGGGUUGUUAAGUCAGUGGUGAAAGUUUGCGGCUCAACCGUAAAAUUGCAAUUGAUACUGGCAGUCUUUAUUACAGUUGCGGUAGGCGGAUUUCGUGUUGUCGCGGUGACAUGCUUAGCUAUCCCG